UACGUAGGGGGCAAGCGUUGUCCGGAAUCAUUGGGCGUAAAGCGCGUGUAGGCGGCUCGGGAAGUCAGCUCUGAAAGCCCGGGGCUCAACCCCGGGAGGCGGGUGGAUACUGCUGAGCUCGAGUCCGGAAGAGGAGUGUGGAAUUCCUGGUGUAGCGGUGAAAUGCGCAGAUAUCAGGAGGAACACCAAUGGCGAAGGCAGCACUCUGGGACGGUACUGACGCUGAGACGCGAAAGCGUGGGGAGCAAACAGG
rnacentral:rRNA from 1 species